AGAGUUUGAUCAUGGCUCAGGACGAACGCUGGCGGUGUGCUUCACACAUGCAAGUCGAGCGAAUGAAGUAGGUAGCUUGCUACUUAUGGAUUUAGCGGCGGACGGGUGAGUAAUAUAUAGGAAUCUGCCUUAGAGCGGGGAACAACAGACCGAAAGGUUUGCUAAUGCCCCAUAGGUAUGCAGUCUUCGGAUUGUAUAUUAAAGGAGUAAUCCACUCUAAGAUGAGCCUGUAUCCGAUUAGCUAGUUGGCGGGGUAAAGGCCCACCAAGGCUACGAUCGGUAGUUGGUCUGAGAGGAUGAUCAGCCACAAUGGGACUGAGACACGGCCCAUACUCCUACGGGAGGCAGCAGUGGGGAAUUUUACACAAUGGGGGAAACCCUGAUGUAGCGACACCGCGUGAACGAAGAAGCCUUUUGGGGUGUAAAGUUCUGUCGGUUGGAACGAAAAAAAUGACGGUACCAGCAAAGGAAGCAUCGGCUAACUACGUGCCAGCAGCCGCGGUAAGACGUAGGAUGCAAGCGUUGUCCGGAUUUAUUGGGCGUAAAGAGUUCGUAGGCGGUUAUUUAAGUCUGAUGUUAAAUACUGUGGCCCAACCACAGAACUGCAUUGGAUACUGGAUGACUUGAGUGCGGUAGAGGCAAGUGGAAUUCCCAGUGUAGCGGUGAAAUGCGUAGAUAUUGGGAAGAACACCAGUGGCGUAAGCGACUUGCUGGCCCGUAACUGACGCUGAGGAACGAAAGCCAGGGGAGCGAAUGGGAUUAGAUACCCCAGUAGUCCUGGCCGUAAACGAUGGAUACUAGCCGUUGUGGUAUCGACCCCUGCAGUGCCGCAGCUAACGCGAUAGUAUCCCGACUUGAGUAGUACCGGCGGCAAGAUUGUAAGCUUCGAAUGACUUGAACGGGGAGGUCUCUCGUG
rnacentral:rRNA from 1 species